UAUUAUGCUUUUCCGUAUUUCUGUCAUAUCUAUAAUGUUACAAUGUCGGCUGUUCAUAUUAAACGUGGCCAAAGCUUUAAAUAAUAAGGUAAACCUAUUUAAAAGAAAUCCCUGUUAUGCAAAAACUCAGAUU